rnacentral:pre_miRNA from 1 species
UAGUAUGAAUGAGCAAAGAAGUGGUUUCUUGAGAUGGAAUCUACUCCUGGUGAAGAUGCUGUCAA